UUCAUACCUGAGAGAACAGAAAUAGACCUUGACGGGCAGUUAUCAAAUGUGAGGAGACAACGUUUUACCUGCCUGAAGAACCCCUUUCAGAAGGGAGCAAAUCAGGUUAAGAACAUCAUUCCUCUCCUGUUUUUCAAUCACACCUGCUAAAUACGAGAUUCCAUUUGUUCCACGUGGGUUUAGAAAUGCCAGUUUCACCAUAGUAAGCAGCUUUUUUGUUAUUAUUAUUAUCCUUGAGUGACCUUGCAAACACAUACGAGAACAAUACUGAUUCGACUUACACGUGGCUGAGAAAUGCCUCCGUUUGCUCGCAGUUAAGGUUGCCAACUGACAAACAGUAUACAGUGGUACCUCAGGUUACAUACGCUUCAGGUUACAUACGCUUCAGGUUAAGGACUCCGCUAACCCAGAAAUAUUACCUCGGGUUAAGAACUUUGCUUCAGGAUGAGAACAGAAAUCGUACUCCGGCAUCGUGGUGGCAGCAGGAAGCCCCAUUAGCUAAAGUGGUGCUUCAGGUUAAGAACAGUUUCAGGUUAAGAACGGACCUCCGGAACGAAUUAAGUACUUAACUUGAGGUAUACCACUGUAUAGGCACAAUAAGAACCUUAUGCUCUUGGCCGGUUGCAAAUAAAAUAGAUCAGCUGAGGCCUUUUUACUGUUGGUACACAUGUAUGAAUUAAUUGCGACAGUGCACAUGUGAACACUAAGGCAUGACAGCAGGACAAAGAACUGAAUUUGGGAUAUUGGGGGCAGGGGGAGUGCAUACUGAAUUUGAGAGUAGGCACAAGAGUAGACCUGGCUUCUUUGACCACAGCCCCAUGGUAAAAUUGGAGCAUAUGAUCAGCUUUUAACUCUGGCCUGGAUCAUGCUGUAAGUCAGGGUUUCCCAAACUUGAGUUUCCAGCUGUUUUUGGACUACAACUCCCAUCAUCCCUAGCUAGCAGGACCAGAGGUUAGUGAGGAUGGUGGGAAUUGUAGUUCAAAAGCAGCUGGAGACCCAAGUUUGGGAAACCCUGUCUAAGUUGUUGUUUAAAAAUGCAAAGCACAUUUCAUUUUCUUCUGAAAUGUUAACUACUCAGUUGACUGGGGUGAUCUUUUUUAACCUAAAAAAUUGAAAUUUAAUCCAUAACACAUAUGUAAAUGCCUUCUCUUUUGACAGUGCUGCUAUGCAUCUUUGUGCUUGUUUCUUUUCAUAUUGCUGGAAUUGGUGGUCAGCAAAAUCUCCUUAUUUCCUUUACCUUUCUUACUGAACAACUUUAUGCAUCAUGAAGACGCAGUUUGGAUGGCUUUAGAGAAUGUAAAUCUAUCAAUGGUUCCUAGUCAUCAGGACUGUAAAAAAAAAAAACAGGUAAAGGACCCCUGGUCAGUUAAGUCCAGUCAAAGGUGACUAUGGGGUUGCGGCACUCAUCUUGCUUUCAGGCCAAGGGAGCUGGUGUUUGUCCACAGACAGCUUUCCGGGUCAUGUGGCCAGCAUGACUAACACGCUUCUGGUGCAACGGGACACUGUGAUGGAAGCCAGAGCGAACAGAAACGCUGAUUACCUUCCUGCCAUAGUGGUACCUAUUUAUCUACUUGCAUUGGCAUGCUCUCAAACUGUUAGGUGGGCAGGAGCAACGGGAGCUCACUCCGUCAUGUGGAUUUGAGCUGGGACAGAGCAACGGGAGCUCACUCCGUCACAUGGAUUCGAACCACUGACCUUCCAAUUGGCAAGCUACCCGCACUCCUUCAUCGUGACUGUAUGAAUAAUAAUAAUAGUAAUAAUUUAUUAUUUAUACCCCAUUCAUCUGGCUGGGUUUUCUCUGCUCAGUCACUCUGGGUGGCUCCCAACAGAAUAUCAACAACAACAACAACAAUAAUGUGAUAAAACAUCAAACAUAAAAAACUUCCCUAAACAGGGCUGCCUUCAGAUGUCUUCUAAAAGUCAGAUAGUUGUUUAUUUCCUUGACAUCUGAUGGGGGGAGUGUUCCACAGGGUGGGCACCACUACCGAGAAGGCCCUCCGCCUGUUUCCCUCGCUUCUCACAGUGAGGGAACUGCCAGAAGGCCAUUGGAGCUGGACCUCAGUGUCAGGGCUGUACGAUGGGGGUGGAGACGCUCCUUCAGGUAUACUGGGCCAAAGUGUCUCCAGAGGCACCAUGCUAUUGGAGAGCAACACCUGGAGAGGACUGUAGGUCCUGCUUGUGAGCAUCUCAGAGGCAUCUGGUUAGAGAAACCAAUGUAGUACUGAUUUUGUUGGACUUCAGCUCUCAUCAGUCGCAGCCAGCAUGGCCAUGAUAGGGCACGAUAGGAGUUGUAGUCUAGCAGCAUCUGAAAGACACCAAGUUGGUCACCCCCGGGUUAGAUGCUGUAGGAAGCUGCAUGCUGGUCUAGUUGAACCAUCGGUCAAGUAUGGCUCUUCCAAUGUCUAUUGCAAGUCUGUGACCCCGCAGGGCUUUUGUUAUAUUCACAUCCCUAUCACUCAUGUUAUCAAAUAAUAGGGCCUAGCCAAACUGUCCUAAACAUUAAUAGAUUGGAUUAUCUAUAUAAUCACUGCAAUUACCUAUGCUUCCACUCAGACCGUGUGCAAUCUUUUCGUUCCGAUAGCACUUAGGGAUAGAAAUCUUAUUUUCAUAGAACGACUAGAGUUUUAUCCCCAGAGAUGCAAUAUAUUCCUCCGAGAAGCGACAAGAAAAUGACCGAAAAGUGAAUUUUUAAAUGAGCUACGUUUUGUAUCACAAGAUGAGCGCAUUUGAAAAGCUUUCCCCUUCUCCUUCCUGCUAAUGACCUGGCUUUACACGCUUGAGGCACAUUAGGAACCGGAGGUCGGAGGAGAUGAGUUUGAUAGAAGUGUGCAGGAUUGCAGAAAUGGAGUUCACCUGCUCAAAAUUGAAGCUUCUCGUAGCAAGCAAUUUGAUGAGUGCUUUUGUAUAAGCAACCAAGCUUAACUGAAAAACCUUUCCCUUUUUUUUUAAUAUGAAGAGCCUAGCUCCACGAGGGGAAGAAAUCGAACCUUUCUGUAGCCACCGACUUUGUUAAAUGAUUGGUUUGCAUCAAGUUGCCCCGCAUAGCUGCCAACGUUUCCCUUUUUUUAAGGGAAAUUCCCUUACUCCGAAUAGGAUUCCUCGCAAGAAAAGGGAAAAGUUGACAGCUAUGUUGACCUGUGAAAGGGCCCCAGCCCUUGACUCAGUGUCCCAGACACACACGUACACCAACUGUAUUGAAAAGAAAAUAUUUGGUACUCUGCAGUUGAUGUCUGUUUGUUUUUUAAAAAGUUUGCCCAAUAUAGAUUGUGGAGAGACAGGGAAAUGGGUGCAGCAGUGAAAUCAACAGACCAGAAGAGAAACCCUCUGGCAGCAGAGCAGCUGAGUUGGUGAAUCUGUCCUUUUGCACACUGCUAGCAUUGACUACUUGGGUUGGGACAUGUGCCUUGCCAGCUUGGUCCAUGCUAUCAGCAUGAAUGAGCAUUACAGCUCCGUGAGCAGUCUGAGUUCCAGAUUCCGCUGGUGUUUGCAUCUGACCUUCGGCUGCCAAGUCAAGCUAACGGCAGCAGCUUCAAACAAUAGGAAGGUUAGCCCUCGGCGAUUCCUGCCUAGCCGAAAGAUUAGGGAGCUGUUCUCUUGCACUUCAGGCAUGCCUUCACGGAAGCUUCCUGUAUUCUGGCUUCGGAAAGGCAGCUUGCAAUCGAUCAGGUCUCCAGGAAUGGCAGACAGGACCACGCAGAAUGGAGGAUGCUAAGUUGCAGGGCAUGGCGUUAAUCCCACAUCAUGCACCGGCCUGACAACCGUUUCUGCAAGCUUCAGAGGAUGUGGGGAGAAGCACCCUGCUUGAAAAGAUGGAAUGAAUCAAGACAUAUCUUGUAAGCAAGAGCUGUGGGGUCAUGGCUUUGAUGCAGGAAUAUUGGAGAAUGGGCAUCUGCUAAAUAAAAUCCAGAAAUGUAGA